CACGUAGGGCGCAAGCGUUGUCCGGAAUUAUUGGGCGUAAAGAGCUCGUAGGCGGUCUGUUGCGUCCGCUGUGAAAACUCGGGGCUUAACCCCGAGCCUGCAGUGGAUACGGGCAGACUAGAGGUAGGUAGGGGAGAAUGGAAUUCCCGGUGUAGCGGUGAAAUGCGCAGAUAUCGGGAGGAACACCGGUGGCGAAGGCGGUUCUCUGGGCCUUGCCUGACGCUGAGGAACGAAAGCGUGGGGAGCGAACAGG
rnacentral:rRNA from 1 species